AGACUUAUCUGGCAGGUGGCAUACCAUGAUCACAAGGGUGAUUUUCCAGAUGAGGCUCAUCCGUUGCGCUCCAGAUGUGUUGACCCCUGCAAUUUCCCCAGGCAUGGGAAACUCAGCUGCAUAAUUUCUGGUAGUUAGGGACUGCAUUCACACUUUCCCAUU